rnacentral:lncRNA from 1 species
UCCAACAUAGGCUGUGUUUAUAAAAAAAGGCCCAAUAUGAAAUGAGAUGGUUCACUUGAUCGAGCCCAAUAAUUCAGCCCAUUUCUUAAUCGCUCUGGAGCCGUUGGAUUGACCCACUGAUCAACGGUUGAUGGUCUUUCUAUAUAUAUGACCCUUUCUUGCCCUAGAAGAGUGAAUCGUUAUUUUUCUUCUCUCUGUGAGUCGUCUCUCUUUCUAGAACAUUUAAGGGCUUUCUGUCUCUGUGAUUUUUUUAUCUUCUUUCUGUGAGAUUUUCUAGUGAUUAUCUUUGUGAUAAUCGAGUCUUUGUCUGAGUAGUCUCUGUGUGAGUGAACUGGCUGUUGACGUGGUGUGUCCAUUUUUUGUUCCAUUGAAGCGAUUCUGUGUUUGGGUCUGUGAGGGUCUAUGGUUGAGUCUGGUGCCUCUAUUAUGUUCCUUAGAGGUUUAUGGUCUGAACCUAUGAAAGGUUGAAAUCGCGAUGCUGCGGUCUUAGGUUUUUGUAAAGUUCUUGUAUAAUUUCUUAUACAGUUUCAGAUCUUUG